ensembl:snRNA U6 U6 spliceosomal RNA
GUGCUCACUUUAGCCGCACAAUUACUAAAACUGAAACAAUACAGAGAUUAGCAUAGCUCCUGUGCAAGCAUGGCAUGCAAAUUCUUGACAUAGUCCAUAAAUUU